GCUCGACGACAGGGGCGCCGCGGCAAUCGCCGUGGCUGAGACGCACCCUUGGAACCUGACCCGGAUCAUGCCGGCGUAGGGAGUCGUGCAGCCCGCCCC
rnacentral:ncRNA from 2 species